GGCAAUUUGAACACAGCUUGUUCAAGCCUCCACCUCUAGACACUAUAAUCUGACAAUGAGUGCCUCACACAAUCAUCCUCCUGCUGCCAAUAUUGAAAUUGCUCUGUUUUGGUGUAGCAGUGCCACUGUCCUUGUAGAGGCCAGAAAGCACCUUAAGCUGCAAUAGUUUCAUUGUUCUCAGUUGUUUGUAUUCAAGUAAACUAGAAAUUCUGAGUGUAGAUGAUCAACUGGUAGACUUGAGAGUUCAAGAGACUAAGCUGCUUGAGGCUAUGCAUUUAUCUACUCUAAGGCUAUGCCUUUUAUAUGUUUCUCAGCUUUAUGAGCUGACUCAUCUUUCUCACACUUUCCCUGCACCCUCCUCUGCUUGGACUUCUCUCCUCCCUAAUGCCUCCUUACAUGGUCCUCCUCCUCUUCCUCUUGCCUCCUUCCUUCCGUCUCUCUCUCUCCCCUUGUUAAAAUGAAUGAGGAUACUGGUAUGGAUGCUCAGCUUUCCUUCUAACUAAAGUCAGAUGCGGAAAGCCAUCCAGUACCAAGCUACUAUGGACUUAUAUAUCUAUCUAUGCUUGCCACUACAAGCUAAAUGAUAUAAUAUUAUCCACCUCGCUAGUCUUUAUCCCAAUCUCCACCUUGCUACCAUCCUCCCAACACCCCUCCACACUCCAAAACUACUUCUCCAUUUUCCUCUUGUCUUCCACUUUCUCUUCCACCUACCCUCAUUCUAUUUACAUGUUGACAUCAGAAGACUUGCAUUGUCUCACCUUUUGUCAUUGUGUAAAUCUCUAUGCUAGCUCCAGUGCAAUCCUGCUUGUAUUCAGCAAUUAGUGAGCAAUGAUGUCAUGAGCCUGCAUGAAGUAGAAGAAAUAAGAGAUCA
rnacentral:sRNA from 1 species